rnacentral:lncRNA from 1 species
UAUAGAGUAUCCAUAUGUUUAGCAAUAGAUUGAGAACAAAAGAAAUGAAGCUAAACAAGUAAACAAAUCUUCAUAUAUUUUUAUUUAAAAUCUGAGAGAGCUCAUUUUUCUCGUUCUCUCAUGUUCUGUCCACCUACGGUGUCAGAUUUAACACGACUGGUUGAGCUGAGGUUAGUAUUUAUUUUUAUAAUUUAAAAAUGGACUUGCAUAUGUAAUACAUAAAUAUAUUCCUGUGGUUAAAAAUUCAUACAAUACAUAUGAAUCUAAAUCUGCGUUGACCCCAGUCAAUCUCAUUCCUCUUUUCAGAGGUAUCCAGGUGUGUUAGUUUGCCAUGUGUAACAAAUUUCCACAAAUUUAGCAGCUUAAAACAGGAGCCAUUCGUUGUCUCAGUUCUGAAGGUCAGAAGUCCCGGGGGCCCAGCUGGUUCUCCUGCCCAGGGCUUCACACGGCUGCGUCAAAGUAUCCACCAGAGUCAAGCUUCUCACCUGAGGGGCCGGGGCCCUCUUCCAACCUGGGUGGCUCUCGGCAGAAUUAAUUUCCUUCUCAUGCCCUCUGUGUGGUUUCCUCCAUCUUCAAGCCAGCAAGUCCCCUGUCUUUCUCCUGCUUUGAAUUUUCUCGCACUGCCACCUCUCUCGACUUCCUCUUCCUCAGCAGGACAAACUCUGCUUUUGAAGGGCUCGUGUGAUUCCAUUGGGCCCACGUGGAUGAUUCAAGAUUGGCUCUGAGCUAAUGUCUGUGCCAGUCUUCCUUUAUUUGGUAUGUGGGAUGCUGCCACAGCAUGACUUGAUGAGUGGUGUAGGUCUGCACCCGGGAUCUGAACCUGGAAACAUGGGGCCACUGAAGCCAAACCCAGGAACUUAACCCCUACACCACUGGGCUGGCCCCCUGUAGCUAACUUUUAUGAAUUACCUGUGCACUGUUAGAUUGUUUAUUUGGGACCAGUCCCUAGGGUGGGCUGCCUGCCCUGGAUCAGCUGGAUUAAAUUGGUGUAGCAGUGGUUGUGGCAGACGGGGCUAACAGGCCAGGGGAAGAACUCCACUGACGUCUGCCAGUGUCUGUGUCAACACAUCUUUACUAGGUCACAACAAUGGCUGCUGCCAAUGUCCCAGUCCCCAGAGAGGUCUCACCUCUCAUGCAGAUGCACCCAGAGCCUAUCAGUUGUCAUCCGGAGGAUGCAGUCUCCAAUUAGACCAGUUAAUAGAAUGAGAAGUAUUGGUGGGGAAAGAAGAAUAGUUUACUUGUUUUCUUAAAAUCACCUCCCAAUAUUAAAGUCAUGGCGACACACGAAAUGUCUGAAAGAGCCACAAAGGGUCAUUGGCCAUGCAUUUUUAGUUGCAGCAGAAGAGCACUAUAAACACAGGGAUUCCGGGCUCUGCUUGUGGUGGUUCUUAUUCACGCAGACACUCAGCUAUCUCAAGCACUGUGAUCAGAACACCGCACUCAACUGUGCUGACCACUCGCUGAUGCUGGAGCUGCCCAUCAACAGGGCCAGAAGUCUGCAGGAAGAGGGAAGCAGGGCCAGAGCACAGGUGUCCAUGCCACCUUGGACGUCCUCUUAGUACUGGAGCCACAGUGCCAGUGGGGACAGGACUGUGGCAAGAUACUGGAGGCAAAACUUUCAGAGAAGUACGGGCCGAGAGAGGAGAGUUGGAGUGGGGAGGCAGGAGGCAGACAGUGCCUACUGCGUGAAUAGUUCCUGGGAGAUGAAUGCUCUGGAAAUUCUAAGAGAAUAACAGAAGCAUUGUCAAAAGAACCAUCCAUCAGAGAAGCUUUGAUGAGUUAGCUCAACCUGUGUGCAAAAACAAAAAUGAAAGUGUAAGAAGCCUCUUCAGGAGCAUGCCGCCAUGACUGCAUAAUGAAAAUUGCUUCCUCUCAGGCCAUGAUUUCUUCUUGGCUAUGUCAUUAAGUCUUAUGAAAACCUUAGUAUUGAGAGCUAAAUGAAAGCUUGUGAGUUUUGGUCUCCCAUUGUGAAUCUAGCUUAUGUUGGAGAAUUAUUUCCUCAGUUAGCCUUCUGAGUGUUAAUAUAUUGCAGAGUUUAAACACAACUGCAUUGGGCAUUUCCAUUUAAAACAGAGCUUUUACAUGAUUCAUGAUGGGUAUUUCACAUUUCCCUCUUUCUAAAGAUCUAGGAAAUUAUUGUACAAGUUGUAAGUAAUGUGUCUGUAAGAACAAAGCAAUAUGUUUUAAACAGCUCAAGAUCAUUCUAUGGAAAGCUCCAUUCUAUCUAAUGCAUAUACACCUUAGCAGCAUUUCUCCUGGGAAAAUGUGAAAUAUGAUGCCCUAUGGAAUUGUAGAUUGGUAAGCCUAAUAUUUGUUGUUCUGAAAAUCCUUUUGUAAGAAGUUAGAAGAAAGUGUAUCCAUCUAAGUGUUAGAAGGGCAGAAUUCUGGGUUCAAUUCCUCUCCUUUUAGCUGUGUGACCUGAGACAAGCCAUGCAACUUCUCUGAGUCCAAAUUUCCUCUUCUUUGAAAUGGGCAAACUAGCUUUUACUCAACAUUCUCCUGAGUUGUAAAAAUCAAAGAAGAUAUUAGAUGAGACCGUGUUUGAAAGCAGCUGUAUACAAAACAAAUGAAAAGUUGAGACAAUCUAGAAAAUAGUGUGAAUUGUUCUAUUUAAUAAACUGAAUAUGUUGUCUUAAUUGCUCAUAGUGGACUCCCACCCUCAUCCCCAGGCUGAGGCCUGCAGUUUGCGUGUUUCAGCCUGUUAUCCCAUCUCCUCCCUUUCAGAGGUUGAUGGUCUGGGGUUAUCAGGAGUUAGGUCGUAGUUCACAAGAGGCGUCAGAUGGAGCCUCGUCAUCAAAAUAACCCAGGAGAUUAUCGGUAGCUACUAACAAUUGGAAGUCCGUGGUUUUCACAGUUGUACCACUUCCUUCUUGUAGUGAAUGUUUUGCUAUAUCCAAGGUCUAAUGGGUUUUGAAGGUGGGACUGAUGAAUUCGUAGGUCUCU